rnacentral:rRNA from 1 species
GGACUACAAGGGUUUCUAAUCCUGUUUGCUCCCCACGCUUUCGUGCCUCAGUGUCAGGAACGUUCCAGAGAGCCGCCUUCGCCACCGGCCUUCUUCCCGAUCUCUACGCAUUUCACCGCUACACCGGGAAUUCCGCUCUCCUCUCCCGCCCUCUAGCUAGGCAGUCACCUGCGACCUUCCUGGGUUAAGCCCAGGUCUUUCCCACAGAUCUUACCUCACCACCUACGCACUCUUUACGCCCAGUAAAUCCGAACAACGCUUGCCACCUCUGUCUUACCGCGGCUGCUGGCAC